UACGUAGGUGGCAAGCGUUGUCCGGAUUUACUGGGCGUAAAGAGCGCGCAGGCGGUCGAUCAAGUCGCGUGUGAAAGCCCCCGGCUCAACUGGGGAGGGUCACGCGAUACUGAUCGACUCGAAGGCAGGAGAGGGUAGUGGAAUUCCCGGUGUAGUGGUGAAAUGCGUAGAUAUCGGGGAGGAACACCAGUGGCGAAAGCGGCUCACUGGACCACAACUGACGCUGAGGCGCGAAAGCUAGGGGAGCAAACAGG
rnacentral:rRNA from 1 species